CCCUUAGAUGUCCGGGGCUGCACGCGCGCUACACUGAAGGAAUCAGCGUGCUAAAACCAAUGUCGAAAGGCAUUGGUAAACCCAUUAAAAUCCUACGUGAUUGGGAUCGGGAAUUGCAAUUAUUUCCCUUGAACGAGGAAUUCCCAGUAAGUGUGGGUCAUAAGCUCGCGUUGAUUACGUCCCUGCCCUUUGUACACACCGCCCGUCGCUGCCCGGGACUGAGCCGUUUCGAGAAAAGCGGGGACUGCUGCUGUCGGGGCUUUCGGGCCUUGGCUUCGGUGGAAACCGCUUUAAUCGCAGUGGCUUGAACCGGGCAAAAGUCGUAACA
rnacentral:rRNA from 1 species